CCCUUAGAUGUUCUGGGCCGCACGCGCGCUACACUGAUGCAUUCAACGAGCCUAUCCUUGACCGACAGGUCCGGGUAAUCUUUGAAUCUGCAUCGUGACGGGGAUAGAUUAUUGCAAUUAUUAAUCUUCAACGAGGAAUGCCUAGUAGGCGCAAGUCAUCAGCUUGCGUCGAUUACGUCCCUGCCCUUUGUACACACCGCCCGUCGCUCCUACCGAUUUCGAGUGAUCCGGUGAAUCAUUCGGACCGCGUGGGCUUGACCUAACGUGGAAAGUCUAGUAAACCAUAUCACUUAGAGGAAGGAGAAGUCGUAACA
rnacentral:rRNA from 1 species